GGGGAUUUAGCUCAGUGGUAGAGCGCUUGCCUAGCAAGCGCAAGGCCCUGGGUUCGGUCCCCAGCUCAAAAAAAAAAAGGGGGGGGGGAAGCACUGACUGCUCUUCCAGAGGUCCUGAGUUCAAUUCUCAGCAACCACA
rnacentral:tRNA from 1 species